GACGAACGCUGGCGGCGUGCCUAAUACAUGCAAGUAGAACGCUGAAGGAAGGAGCUUGCUCUUUCUGGAUGAGUUGCGAACGGGUGAGUAACGCGUAGGUAACCUGCCUGGUAGCGGGGAUAACUAUUGGAAACGAUAGCUAAUACCGCAUAAAAUUGAUUAUUGCAUGAUAGUCAAUUAAAAGGUGCAACUGCACCACUACCAGAUGGAACUGCGUUGUAUUAGCUAGUUGGUGGGGUAACGGCUCACCAAGGCGACGAUACAUAGCCGACCUGAGAGGGUGAUCGGCCACACUGGGACUGAGACACGGCCCAGACUCCUACGGGAGGCAGCAGUAGGGAAUCUUCGGCAAUGGACGGAAGUCUGACCGAGCAACGCCGCGUGAGUGAAGAAGGUUUUCGGAUCGUAAAGCUCUGUUGUAAGAGAAGAACGAGUGUGAGAGUGGAAAGUUCACACUGUGACGGUAUCUUACCAGAAAGGGACGGCUAACUACGUG
rnacentral:rRNA from 1 species